AAGUUUUCGUUCGUGAGAGAGAAAGGAGAGAAAAAGGAAAGAGAAAGGGCCGCAAAUUAUUUUAGGUUCGUGAGAGAGAAAGGAAAGAAAAAGUAGAGUGGACUGGAGAAAGCAUAAUGGACUGAAAAUGGUUUUAGGUUCAAUAAAAUAAAAAUUAAAUAAUAAAUUACUUCUAAAAUCUAUUAUCCGGAGUCAACUUCUUUUAGUAAAUAAUCACUACUAACAAAAGUCAAAUUUUGGUUUUUUGAUAACUAAGUUCUAACCUGCGUUUUCGUAAAAUUCACUCAAAACAAUAGUCAUAUUUCGAUUUAC
rnacentral:lncRNA from 1 species